GGGGGGGGGGGGGGGGGGGGGGGGGGGGGGGGGGGGGGGGGGGGGGGGGGGGGGGGGGGGGGGGGGGGGGGGGGGGGGGGGGGGGGGGGGGGCCCGGGCUCUCAGCCCCGUGUUCCGAUCCGCAGGUGCCAUGGGCCGGCAGCGCGCACCGCCCGAGCGCUGCUGGAAGCGGCCCCUGCGCGCCGGGGGCUGCUGGCUGCUGUGGCUCUGCGGGACGGCGCUGCGGGCGCUGCGGGGGCUCUGGAGCCUGACGUGGGUCGGUACCACAGCAGGGCGGGGGCAGAGGCGCUGCUGGGGUGCAAACGCUGCACCGCUGCUGCUGCUGCUGGGGUUUGUUGCUGUCCUCGGCUCAAGGCGCUGGGUGGUUGUGCCCGCCCAGAGCCCUGGGGACGCGGGGACAGGUGUCACCGUCCCCUCCCGCAGGUUCUGCUGCUGUGCUACAAAAGCUGCUGGGAUGGCGCCUUCCAGGUCACCGAGGAGGUAAAGCCUCAGUGGGGCAGACCGGGGACACGGCCGGCUGGGGGGCACGGAGGGGCUCCCCACACGGGGUUGGUGCCAGGGACCGUCUGGGCUCAGCUGCCCAUGGACCUGCGAGUCCCCAGCGUCCGCGUUGGCUUCCAGCUGGGCACAGCCCUGCAGCUUCGGCUAGGGAGGAGUGAGGAGGAGGAGGAGGAGGAAGCAGACUCAGAUUCUGCAUGGCAGCCCGGACAGACAGGUGGGUACCCGGCCCAGGGGCGGCCCGGCGGCGGCAGGUGCCAUGGGGGGUGGCUGGAGCUGAGCUGUGCUGCCAGGGCAGCGGCGUGGCGAUGCCAGCGAGGCCAUGCUGGGGAGGCUGGAGGCUCUGGAGGCCGAUGUUCGCUUCCUCUGCACCGAGCUGGGGGCUGAGAAGCUCCUGUGGAGCAGCCGGUUCCUGGAGCUGCUGCGGGAGCAGCAAAGCCUGCGCCAAAGGGUGAGUGCCCGGGGGGGGCCAGCCCCAAAGCCCCCUGUGGCAGCCCCCACCCUCACAGCCUGCUCCAGCUGCAGGAGCUGCCGUGGCACUGGAACGGUGGGGACAGCCCCGAGCUGCUGGGGGAGGCAGAGGAGCAAAGUGCCAGUGGGAGUGAGGGAGAGAGCCCAGAAGGACGCCAGUGGAUGGAGGCACCUCGGCAACCAUGUGGCUCCAUCCAGCCUGGUGGCAGAAAAAGCAAGUGAAGGUGUGAACAAGGCCUCAGCAGUUCAGGAAGGAUCCACACAUUCCUCCUGCCCAGGCCCUUCAGGACCCAGGCCAGGCUGCUGCUGUCCCAGCUGUAUCACUCCACCCCAGCCCAAUGCAGCAGAACUGCAGCCAUUUCCCAGGAGCAGGAACCAGCUGGAGGCAGGUCAGGACAAGCCACUCUCCCUGGGCCUGCCCCAGGACACAUCACAGCCCUCCCUGCCCAGGGCUGCCCCCGGGUUUCUGUGCCCCACAGGGGCUGGCUCUGAUGAAGCCCACAGAGGAGCAUCCCCCUGCUCUGCUGCUUGUCGGGACGUUCCAGGAACAAGGAGUCUGGUCAGCACUGGCUUCAUCAUCUUGCACUGGGGUGACAGAUUGCAAAACUCACCCACCGACUUCCUGACUGGCCACAUCCAUCCUCUCAUGAGCUGCUCCUGCACAUGUCGCAACCCUGGGCAGCUCCUUGAGACAGUGGCCAAGGGCAAGCAGCUCCCCAGGCAUGGCUGACAGCCCCUGGCAGGCCAGAACAGCUGGGGCUGGGAGCAGCAGCCCCACAGGGAGCUGAUCUGAGGGGUUGCCCCAUGCCCAGCCCUGGCCCAGCCCAGGGGCUGCACCCACUGUCAAUACAGGCAGCUGCUCUCCAUCUCUUGUGUCUGCCUGGUCUUUCCCAGCAGAGCUGGGACAGCCACACCCGGGCUCUUUGGGGCGGGGGGACAAGAUGAGCUCUUGCUGCAGCAGAGCAGGGACCGGGCUCCAGCAGCAGGCAGGAUGGGCAGGGAUCUGUUCUCCAAACAUGCCCAUGCAGCUCCCACGUGCAGGGAACUGAUGCAAUGGGAAUAGCAGCAGCCUGAGUCACCCUGCACCCACCCGGCCCCGGUGUGGUGGCGGUGGGACAGCCCCGUGCUGCUCAGAAAGAGCAAAGGAAACCAGGUCCUGCAAAGGAGCUGCUCUCAGGGCAGGAGUCCUGCUGCAGUGAAACCCCAGCCCCAUGCUGCACCCCCCCUUCCCUGCAGCAGCCACGGCAGCGUCCCUGCUGAGACCGUGGGAGCACCAGACAAUGAUGUCACAAGGUCCUGCUCCUGCUGUAGCCACCAUCCACCUCUCCGUGGCAAUCCUUGGGCUGGAAAUCCCCAGCCAGCCCACAGGGAAGUGGAGGGUGACAUCAAGCAGCAUUAGCUGCAGCCACCAGCUCUGCACCCCCCACUGGAGCAGCCCCUGACCACAACACCUGCAGCAAGGCAAGAGUCACCACACAGGCCACAGAAACUUUUCUCCAGCCACCACCCCAGCCAAAGCUCCUGACCUAUUGCUUAACCUGAGGCUGUAUUUACUCCCACAUGCUUGUGCAACACUGCUCCCCAGUCCUGGCCAGGAGCCUCAGUGGUUUUGUCAGAAGGGCUGAGCAAGCUGCUGCUGCCUCAGACAAGGCUUUGGCUUCCAGGGGCACCCCCUGACCUUCAGGAGCACUGGGGAAUUCAGGGCCCUUAGCAAAGUGUGUGAGGGAACUGAAAAGCAUCUGGCUGGAGGGCAAGUGCUGACAGCAUCUGCACAGGUAGCACCACCAUCACAACCCCAUCCCAUCCCAGCCUCCCCCUACUGCCCUGGGGCAGCACCCAGCUCCUCCCCAGCACCCUUCCAUUCUCUUGUACGUAACAGUGACUGCUUCCUGCAGCCCUGGCUCACAGGGAGGCUGUGCUGCAGCAGCAAUUUGGGAUACAGGGUGCAGAGCUGCUGCCAUGCUCGGUACAUCCACUCCUCUUCAUGGGGAGAGCAGCAGCCCAGCAGCCUCAGCACUGGGGGAACACGGGGUUGAUGCUGAAUCUGCUCCUCUGUAUAGCACCUACAUCACCACAUCCCAUCCCCUAUCCCACAGGAACCUUUCCCAUUCCUGCCUCUGAAAAUGCUUUAAAAUGUUAGAACGGAGCUAGCCACAUCCUGGAAACCCUCAGUGGGAGGAACCAGCUGAGCUCAAAUGGAAGUUCAGGGAGCAAGGGCAGCAGGACCAGGGAGAGGCAAGCCAGCCCUGGAGAGCAGCCUGGGCUGCUUGGAGGAACCAGCCUCUCCUCAAGCUCUGCACGAGGCUGCAGUGGCAUGCAGCUGACAGGAUGAGGGCUGGGAAGCCCCUGAGCACAGGAAACCUCCAACAGGCCCAUGUGUGACCUCCUUCCCCCCAACAGCACAGUGAGCUGAGACACAGAUCUGACCCAGUUUGGCUCAGCCAGGAACACAAAGCAAACACCCAGCAGUCAUAGCAGGCUCUACCCCCAAGCCCCAGGAAGUUCUGAGUCAAGUGAUGCACCCCAAAAACCUCACCUUAACAGCCUCAGCAGGGUUGCCAAGGUGUGCAGGCAGGCAGCCCCACCACUCCUGGCACUGACGAGUGUGUAGGGCAGAAACAUGCAGCAGGGACAGUUCCAAUCAGCAUUUCCAUUUCCCAAAUCUCUGGUACCACACAGAACUUAGUGUGAAUGAAGGAGAAAAUUCAGAGCACAGCAGUGGGAUUGUGGCUGGGCUUGCUGGCUGCCCCAGCAGCACACAUGGCAGUUUGGGGGAGUAACUUUAACUAGAUCUGUGCUAGGGCCUGACCCUCCCACACCACUCCCUGAGCCCCCAGGACUGUCACUGCAAGAGAAACAUCACAACCAAAGUCAGUCUGCUCCAGCCCUUCCUCUCCUGGUGGUGGCAAUGAGCCUCUGCACUUCUGCACUGAUUCCUUUAAUUGUGUCCCACUGCAGCUUUGAGAGAUGCAAAAACAAACAUUUACCCCCUCUACGCAACCUGUAAAAUUAGUUACCUGUUGUCUUUUACAGCAACACCUGUAAAAUCCUGCAGCAUUUUUCAACUGCAGAUCCCAUUACAGACAGCAGCAAACUGCUCACGUGGUUAAAGGUGUGCUCAGAUCCCUGACACACCACUCCAUCCCCUCCCACCACACACACACACAGCCACAUGAGCUCUGUCACUGCAGUGACGUCCUCAGAGGCUUCCUCUCCCACAGUCAAUAAAGACUUCAGACUGUGAGAUUGCAGGUUUGUUUUGAAAUGCAGCUGGUCUCUGGGAGCACUUGCUUCCCUGGUUUCUGAUUAACUAGAGUCAUUGCCCUGUGGUAAAUGAAGAGCACAAGUUUCAAUACAGACCAUAAAAUUAUUUAACCAGCGAGAUAAGAACAUGCUGUGCUGCAGUGGAACAGAUGGGAG
ensembl:lncRNA